UAAAGAGUUUCAUUGGAACAACCGUGCGGGUUCAUGUUCCGAUCAGUUACCAAUCCUGGAAGGAUGUACCUACAGAGCUCAAAGAUAAAAUUUACGAACUAAUUGAGGGUGGCUUCGUAGUAGACCCCAGAUCCAAAAAGAGUAUUUUACAAAAUGCGAGUGUAUGUUUUCGAAACUUCAAGUAGUCGCUAACUACAAAGCAUGUAUUACCAUAUAAGAAAGAUUUGGAGAAACUAAAAGACCCACUAACAGAAUACUCUUUCAUCGAUCGUGAGCAUUGGAACAUAUUUGUCGCUUCCAGAUUAACCGAACAAUUUGAGAUGGUUAGCAACAAGGGUCGUGAGCGGAGAAAGAACAACAAGUACAACCACCGAAUGUCGCGAAAAGGUUAUGCAAACCUUACCGAAGAGAUGAAAGCAAGCACAUCUAAUGGUGAGUUAAUUGAUCAUGCUUUAGUAUGGAAGAAAGCACGAACUACUAAAGAUGGAGAGAUUCCAGACAUAGACACAAA